CCUACGGGAGGCUGCAGUGGGGAAUAUUGGACAAUGGGGGCAACCCUGAUCCAGCCAUGCCGCGUGUGUGAAGAAGGCCCUCGGGUUGUAAAGCACUUUCAGUGAGGAAGAACGCCUGGUGGUUAAUACCCAUCAGGAAAGACAUCACUCACAGAAGAAGCACCGGCUAACUCCGUGCCAGCAGCCGCGGUAAUACGGAGGGUGCGAGCGUUAAUCGGAAUUACUGGGCGUAAAGCGCGCGUAGGUGGCUUGAUAAGCCGGUUGUGAAAGCCCCGGGCUCAACCUGGGAACGGCAUCCGGAACUGUCAAGCUAGAGUGCAGGAGAGGAAGGUAGAAUUCCCGGUGUAGCGGUGAAAUGCGUAGAGAUCGGGAGGAAUACCAGUGGCGAAGGCGGCCUUCUGGACUGAAACUGACACUGAGGUGCGAAAGCGUGGGUAGCAAACAGGAUUAGAUACCCCAGUAGUC
rnacentral:rRNA from 1 species